rnacentral:pre_miRNA from 1 species
UACAAUAUUUUGACUCUUCAUCUUAUUUAAAUUUUUUUGCGAUUAAUGUUUUAUUCUUACGGGAUGAUAAAACAUGAAUAGUACUUUAUGCGUACUAUUUUUUAAAGUUUUUUUACAAUUUUUUUUAAUAAGACGAAUGGUCAAACGUUAGACACGGGAAAAC